GAAACAGCAGGUCGCGGGGGCAGCACCAGAGCGGCGGUUUGCCUUGCGGGCUUUACGUAAAAUUUGUCCUAAGUGACUGCUUGAGAGUGAUAAAUCAGUUGCUUUUAAUGGAUGUGGCUUUCUGAGAAAGGUGGAAGAGAACUGUACUCACAUCAUAAGGGGACCUUCAGAUGGGAAAAACAGACAAAGACUUUUCCACAGGAACACAGAGCUAGGAUUAGAGCUCUGCACCAUGAGAUCCCUAAGCCUGUGCCCAGGCCGCCACACUAAGCUCUCUUAUACUAUGAUGUCACUGAUAAAAAGCUUGACAGCAUGAGUUCCGAAUUCUGGACCUCAAACCAAGCUUCACAGCCUGACUUGGGCUACAGGAGGGAGGAGCACAGGACCGUCAGCAAAGAUCUACUGGAACCAGGAUUGCAGAUAAAGGUGUCGCUGGAAUCAGGAUAUAGGAACAGCAAGGAAGAAAGGAGAGAAAGAAAAGCAUAAAAAGUGAAGUUGAGAGAACAGUGACAAGAAAAAAAAAAUCUUGAUUUCCUCAGGAGAAGUAAAGGGGGGGAGGGGGAAGAUCACUGGUCUAUUAUGGGAAUGCCCUCUAUUACGGAAGCAUCAGUCUUGGGUCCAUUUUUACGGCUGAGUUGUGCACUUAAAUAAAGUAUUCUAAUACUAUGGUGAUAACAAUGGUUUAAAAAUACAGCUGGAUAGAGUUUUUAGGUUCUUAAGAAAAGGUAUGAUUCAGAUAUUUCUUAUCACUAGGCUUGGGAGGAUUAGAUUAUCAGUAAGUGACAGUAGAUGUUCAUUUCACCAUA